CGGGAUCUGAUUGGAGGGAAGGAAACUUGGCCCGCCCUCUCCUAGCAGAGGACACACCACAUAGGACAGUAGAGAACUGAGAAGCAAGUUCACAAAGUGAAAACAAAGCUCUUUGCAUCUCUGAAAGUGUUUAAAAAUAAAAGCAGAAGUGACCGAGGCGCCAACCAACACGCUUGAUAAAGUUGAACUUCUUGGCUGGAAUUUUGUCUUUGGAUACCUUUUGGAUCUCCCUGGAGUUGGGACCUGGAUUUCCUCCUUUGCCUAGGAGGUGGUGAACCUGACCUUUCCAUCUACCUGAGAAGGAAGCCACCUAUUCCUUCUCUUCUGUUGGAGAAGUUAUCGGCUGUGCUCUCCAAGGCAGGAGCAGGAAUCCCAAAUUAUCCAGGGGGUUAGGGGGCGCAGUGCCCCUGAGCCCCGAGCCCCAUAGCAGAGGUAACGUAUUCAAUGGCCUGGGGCGAGUGGAGGAGAGGAGCGGCCCUGCUGCAUACUGAUGGCAGGGAGAGAAGCCAGUAAUUGGAGCUGCAGAGGAGAGGGGAGAGGGGGGCAAGCACUGGGAGAUGAUGGCUUUGUUUUCUCUCUUCCUGUCUGUGCUGCUCAAACUCCUCCUCUCAGGCCUCGCUCUCCCUCACACUCACUAAGUAGAGAUAUGGAGAAAUUGAAUAGAGAUACUUGCUAAUUGGUCUCUUGCUGCUUGCUUAAAGGACCAUAGACAUUCUUUUUCAUUUGCCUAUUGAAACUAAUAAACUACAUCUGUCUGUGUGUGUC